GACGAACGCUGGCGGCGUGCUUAACACAUGCAAGUCGAACGGAAAGGCCCUGCUUUUGUGGGGUGCUCGAGUGGCGAACGGGUGAGUAACACGUGAGUAACCUGCCCUUGACUUUGGGAUAACUUCAGGAAACUGGGGCUAAUACCGGAUAGGAGCUCCUGCUGCAUGGUGGGGGUUGGAAAGUUUCGGCGGUUGGGGAUGGACUCGCGGCUUAUCAGCUUGUUGGUGGGGUAGUGGCUUACCAAGGCUUUGACGGGUAGCCGGCCUGAGAGGGUGACCGGCCACAUUGGGACUGAGAAACGGCCCAGACUCCUACGGGAGGCAGCAGUGGGGAAUAUUGCGCAAUGGGCGGAAGCCUGAUGCAGCAACGCCGCGUGCGGAAUGACGGCCUUCGGGUUGUAAACCGCUUUCGCCUGUGACGAAGCGUGAGUGACGGUAAUGGGUAAAGAAGCACCGGCUAACUACGUG
rnacentral:rRNA from 1 species